rnacentral:tRNA from 1 species
AAAAUCCGUCGACUUUUAAAAUCGUGAGGGUUCAAGUCCCCUCUAUCCCCAAAAAGGCCUAUUUG